GAAGGAAAUUAAGUACGGAAGUUCCUGAUUUCACGCUGUCAAGAAAAGCCUCUAGGAAGAGUAGUACUGCCCGUACCGCAAACCGACACAGGUAGAUGAGGAGAGAAUCCUAAGGUGAGCGAGAGAACUCUCGUUAAGGAACUCGGCAAAAUGACCCCGUAACUUCGGGAGAAGGGGUGCUCUAUUAGGGUGCAAGCCCGAGAGAGCCGCAGUGAAUAGGCCCAGGCGACUGUUUAGCAAAAACACAGGUCUCUGCAAAACCGUAAGGUGACGUAUAGGGGCUGACGCCUGCCCGGUGCUGGAAGGUUAAGAGGAGUGCUUAGCUUCGGCGAAGGUACGAAUUGAAGCCCCAGUAAACGGCGGCCGUAACUAUAACGGUCCUAAGGUAGCGAAAUUCCUUGUCGGGUAAGUUCCGACCCGCACGAAAGGCGCAACGAUCUGGGCACUGUCUCAACGAGAGACUCGGUGAAAUUAUAGUACCUGUGAAGAUGCAGGUUACCCGCGACAGGACGGAAAGACCCCGUGGAGCUUUACUGCAACCUGAU
rnacentral:rRNA from 1 species